UAGCUCAGCGGUAGAGCAAUCGGCUGUUAACCGAUUGGUCGUUGGUUCGAAUCCGACAGU
rnacentral:tRNA from 1 species